CGAAAGUCUGACGGAGCAACGCCGCGUGAGUGAUGAAGGUUUCGGAUCGUAAAACUCUGUUGUUAGGGAAGAACAAGUACCGUUCGAAUAGGGCGGCACCUUGACGGUACCUAACCAGAAAGCCACGGCUAACUACGUGCCAGCAGCCGCGGUAAUACGUAGGUGGCAAGCGUUGUCCGGAAUUAUUGGGCGUAAAGCGCGCGCAGGCGGUUUCUUAAGUCUGAUGUGAAAGCCCCCGGCUCAACCGGGGAGGGUCAUUGGAAACUGGGGAACUUGAGUGCAGAAGAGGAGAGUGGAAUUCCACGUGUAGCGGUGAAAUGCGUAGAGAUGUGGAGGAACACCAGUGGCGAAGGCGACUCUCUGGUCUGUAACUGACGCUGAGGCGCGAAAGCGUGGGGAGCGAACAGGAUUAGAUACCCUGGUAGUCCACGCCGUAAACGAUGAGUGCUAAGUGUUAGAGGGUUUCCGCCCUUUAGUGCUGCAGCAAACGCAUUAAGCACUCCGCCUGGGGAGUACGGUCGCAAGACUGAAACUCAAAGGAAUUGACGGGGGCCCGCACAAGCGGUGGAGCAUGUGGUUUAAUUCGAAGCAACGCGAAGAACCUUACCAGGU
rnacentral:rRNA from 1 species